rnacentral:rRNA from 1 species
GACGAACGCUGGCGGCGUGCCUAAUACAUGCAAGUAGGACGCAGUUGCGAACGUGUGAGUAACGCGUCGGUCACUGCCUAUUAGUGGGGGCUAACUAUUGGAACCGAUAGCUCAUACCGCAUACUAGUAGAUGGACCUGCGUUGUAUUAAGUAGUAGGUAGGGUGAUGGCAUACCUAGGCGACGAUACAUAGCCGAACUGGUGGGGGGAUCGGCCACAAUGGGACUUGGAAACGGGCCAGACUUCGACGGGAGGCAGCAGGAGGGAAUCAUCGGAAAUUGGGGGAACGCUGACCGAGCAACGCCGCGGGAGGGAAGAAGGGUUUCGGAGUUUAAAGCUCUGUUGUUAAGGAAGCGGUACUUAACGAGAAAGCGACGGCUAACUCCGUGCCAGCAGCCGCGGUAAUUC